rnacentral:rRNA from 1 species
CGUGUAGGCGGUUUGUUAAGUCAUGUGUGAAAACCCUCGGCUCAACCGGGGAAGGGCGCAUGAAACUGGCAAGCUAGAGUACCAAAGAGGGGGGUGGAAUUCCCGGUGUAGCGGUGAAAUGCGUAGAUAUCGGGAGGAGCACCUGUGGCGAAGGCGGCCCCCCUGGUUGGAUACUGACGCUGAUACGCGAAAGCGUGGGGAGCAAACA